UUUUGUUUUGUUUACUUUUGUUUUUAUUUAUUUCCUUGUUUUUGUUUUCUUUUACUUAUUUAAUAGUUUAUAGUUUUUAGAAAAAGUGAAACCCACCCCUCAAUUAGAUUUGUAAACUCAACUGUUCUCACAAAAAGUUUGGGACAAAAGUAAAGUACCUUGUAUUCUCUAUUAAUUAAAAAGACAUUUAAGUUAUUUUUUCGGCCAUUGUUUUAUUUAUUUUAGUGCCUUUAAUUAUUUUAUAAUAAUGUGGAUUCUCCACCAUAAUUACUUAUGAUUUAUUUGUCACAUUGGGAACAUUAUAGUUUUAACUUUUGAAAACUUUUGUUGUUUGACUUUAUUUUAAAUUUGAAUUUUGAAUCAGUUUUGAAUCAGUGUGAGUUUAACAACAGUAAUCAUGGUAAGAUGGCAUCAUUAGUAGGGAAUUACUGUAGCUUGAUUAUCACGGCAUCACAAUUCUCCUCCAGUACAAGAAAUCUCGUCCCGAGAUUUAAGAGGGGAGUAAAGGGGAAGAAUAGGUAAUGAAAUUCUAACGAUUCUUCUUGGUCUUGGUUGCUCUUCUCGAAGAGGUUGAUCCAUUACAAUGGUGUCUUCAUUCCUAUGCUUCAGUUAUCGUGAUGAAGCCGGCAUCCUUCCUUCAGGAUCUCCAUCGUACUUACGAUAGAAUAAGGGGGGUAUUCCAGAAGAACGGAUCUCUGCAAGGUUGACUAUCUGGUCGAUAACGCCGGGGAAGGUGGCGGAAAGUAACUCUCAAAUUGAAACUUAAGAAAACAUCGAGAGCAAGGUAAGUAGGUACCAUGAGAAGUUUCAAGCGGGUAGGCAAUCGUUCGAUGCCUGAAACAAAGUGUGAAAGGGGUCUAGAGCAACGAGAAUAAGUAUUGCGUCUGAUACCAGAAUAGAUCACUUGGCAGGUGGCCCGUGAAUUACAUAUGAAGUCAAGCGCGAGGAUAACUUUGACAACAGGGUGUACAGGAGAGUCAGGUUUCGAUCCUGUGGAACUGUGGGUUAUGGGCCCACCAUGUGGGAUAAAAGUAGGAGGAGUGGUGACAUCUUGCAUGGUCAUGAUAGCAAGGCAUGUCAGAGGGUAGCCUGUCAGUUAUGUCGGCAACAACAUCGGUACCAAGGGCGAGGGACGAAGAGAACCAUUUUCCUGCUCGUCGAACGAGGCGGACCAAUAGGCAAAGUUCUCGUCCAUGGGUGGUUACCGGAAUGUUUUCAACAAUAGUAACAGGGUCUUACUAACAGAAUUGUACACCGAGGUGUUUACAUAAGCAGGAGAAUAUUACUGCUUAGAUCAUAUAGAUCACAAGAAAGGUUAAACCAAACAGUGGAAAGGAAAAUUAUGAUUCUCAGUUUAAACAUGAAAAUGGAAAGGAAAAUGUGUUUAAGCACAUACUUCAAGGGUAUAUCCUCCCCAAGGACAAGCAGAGCAUGAUAUCCAUGACAGGAUAUAAUGUAUUAGACCCUUUAGGUAAGGGGAGAGAAAUUGCAUGCCAUUACCCAUACAACAGUGUUUGGAUAAUUGAUAAAGAAAAUUUAGCAUUGUGCUUCAGAUGUUCUUAUUGAAAUUCGGAGUACCACAGACAUGCUUCGAGAUAGCAUUGACAUGGUCUUCAAGCAAAGGUUGGACUUUGCAUACACAAAGGAUCCAUCAGGAACACUCAUAGAGUAAGUCUUACGAUUUCCUCAUGGAGAAAUGGAUAAUCUUACUAAAAAGGAAACUAUAACAAUAGGGCCUCCGGCCAGGUGUGCUAGGCAUGACAUCAUCUUACCGGGUCAUAUAUAAAGACCAAUGUUAUAACUCUUGGAUAUAUGUUCCAACCAUCAUAUCUAACCGAGAUUCAGAUCCGAUUGGUGUCAGGAUACCUCAGACUCAGGAUGCCCGAGGAGAAAAGGUGCGACACAAGUUGACGAGAUGACAUCGAAGAUUCUCGGGAAAUGAACUAUGGAAGCGAGUUUCGAAACAAGAGUUCAUCAUUAAAUCAAGGAGAGGGUGAGGAGUUGGCUGAUGGACUCAACGACAAUUCAUCGAGAAUUCCAACAAGUUGGAUUUCCACAAUUAUGUGAUCAGGGAGAUAACAUUUGUUGGAUCAAAUGAUAUAAUGAGGUAAGCUCGAGGAAAACAUACACAAUUAAACAUUGGUUGAAAAGUGCACCCGAAAUAUGGUCUUAGGUAGCAUGAUCAAUGUUAGAAUGGUGAUUCGAUAACCAAUGGUCUAAGAAUGAAAUAUCGACCAUUAACAUCAAAGCAAUAGGGUUGCUAGAAGUUUUGAAUUCGCAAGUCAUAAUUCAAUUGUCGGUUUUCCAGUUAGAUAUAACACAGGACCAAGGAACGAACAGAGAUGGCAACUUGUAUCAAAAAUUCUUAAAGAGGUGGAACAAUUCUCACAACAUCCUCGACAUACAGAUGGUAAUACUUCAAGGUAGAACACAAUAUAAGCUAGAUAGCAAGGAAAUCAAGGUACAACUCAAAACAUGAACAAGUUUGUGUUGGGGGGAGGCAAGAAUGUUUGUCGAUGAUAACACAAUCCUCGAGGGGUAAGGAUGGUAUUUCUCAUCACGAAUUCGAUUGAUAUCCUGUAAGAGCUCAGAAUGUUGAUGAUGAUCACGACACAAUUGUCGAGAGAUUUCAUGAAGAUGUAAUCAAUCAAUGAUGACAUCAAGUCAAAGGAAUGAUGAAGCGAAAGGUUAUUGGAACCACGAGUACGACACAAACUCGAAAUCAAGCUUGCUGUUCAAGGACAAAUGGUAUGACGAGGAAGAUUGACGUAAGAUUAGCUCACCGUCAAAAAUUUUGCUCCGGGAAGAAGGACCAGGUAGCACAGUUAAAAUCGGCAUGACAAGGAUAUAGCCAAGCAGGCUAGGAAUGACGUGAUCGAGUUCAAACUCGUAAGUAAUGAAGGUUACCAAGAGUUGUUUAAUCACGGUGCGGACUCGACUCAGUUAUCGGUGUCUUUGAGUGUUUAAUAACUCAGAGCCCGUGAAAAAUUGGAAUCAGUGAGAAUGUAGCACUUGAUGAAGAACUCAUAAGAAGUUAUGCAGUUCCAUGAUAAUCUCGAGAUACCAGGGGGGUAAUACUCGACGACAGAUCAAAGUAGAGGUUGGACUAGGGUAUUGCUCUGCAGAAGACAAGUGCUCAAACUAGCACGAGAAAUGGAAUCAAGGAGAAACAUGGUCGGAACCACGUCCACAGAUACAAGAUGAACUUAUAACAAGGGGAUAAUUAUUUUAAGAGAAGCUUCCAUGAUAAGGUAUACAUCGUGUCCAUGGGCAUGAACACAGGGUUCAAGGUCGACUCCCACUUGUUCAACGCAUAACCUUUCAUUCACCUCUCGUAUUUCGAAAAUGACAUUUGUUGUUGAAAGUUUUUACCUGAUGCAAUACCAGAUAAGUAUGACCCAUGAAAUCUUUCGGGUUCACACGGAUUAGGGAAGGCGUAGGUUCAACCCAUCGGGGCAUCUUAGAAACAUAUACCACAAAUUUUUAGGAGUAAUUAACACAAGCUCAAAAGUAGAGCAUGGUUGUCAAAGCAUUAUGCAUCAGGGAAAGAACUCACAAGAUUUGAAUGCGAAUGAUACCAUCGGAUAACAACCCAGCAAUGGGUUUGGUGGUCCAUAACGGAGCUGACUUGAGUAUCGGUACUCAAUCAGAGGAAGAAAGAAUGCAAAGGCAUCAGAUUAUGGGAAUAACUAACUAAUUCAAAUCUCAAAUGCAAAGGAAUUGCGAUUUCCAAAUCAAGGGAUCAGAAGCAAACGCUCUGAUUAAGGAUGGAUAAGUUGAGUAGACUUAGGGGUACAACCGACGGCAAUUCAGUUGGUCGAGAACCAGUUCAUGUUUAAAAUGACUUCUGAUCCGGAACGAUGAAUUCUAGGAUUUCGACUGAGGAUUGCGAGCAUUCACCACAUAUCAAAUCAAAGGCUGAAAAUGACGAUGACAAGGGAUACUAAUGAAUAUUGCUAGACAUAUGGAACACAACCAUAUAUGCAAGCAGACAAGUAUUUGCACAUCAACAGCUGGCAGAGAAUUACCGGACCGGAUAGCAUAUCAAUGUACCUUGUGGAUCAUAUGAUCAACUAGUAAUGAAUAGUUCCUCGAUAAGGGUGAAGAAUUAUUCGUAGGGGUAUUCAUGCGGCGAGGAACUGCGGGGUAGUAAUCAUAAAGGAUGCUUGGAACAUCGAAGAGUAUUUGAGGGCACCUUGUAAUAACAAGGGCAACUGGGGAUGAAAGUAUGAACGACAAAAGUAUGUAGUUAUCCAUAAACAUUUAUCGGUGGUAGGGAUCGGAAUGGUGAAGGGCACAAGGGUCUCGGGAAAGCAUCAGAGAGUGUCUUCAGAAUCUUCUGGUGCAGCAGGCGAUCAUCUGGCCUGAAGGGGCUCUCCGGGAGGAAGUAUUUUCGAGAACCUAAAGUUAGAUUUUAGAAAAUCAUUUAACCCGAAUAGAAAAGAGGUCAGAAUCCCAGAGUAUAGACAAGGCAUAAAAGAUCCUAAUACCACCCAAUGGAGACGUGGGCCCGUAAGCCACACAGCCAUGUUAGUAAAAGUUUUGCAAUGUCUAGACUCGACUUCGGCCAAGGAGUGUGGAAAGGGGAUUCCUACAGGCAAUCGGCUCUGAUACCAACUUGUGACGCCCCGAUUCAAUCGUACACUAAUCAUACACGCAAAUGUGUACGAUCAAGAUCAGGGACUCAUGGGAAGAUAUCACAACACAACUCUAAAAAUAAAAUAAGUUAUACAAGCAUCAUAAUACAAGCCAGGGGCCUCGAGGGCUCGAAUACAAGUGCUCGAUCAUAGACGAGUCAGCGGAAGCAGCAAUAUCUAAGUACAGACAUAAGUUAAACAAGACUGCCUUAAGAAGGCUAGCACAAACUGGGAUACAGAUCGAAAGGGGCGCAUGCCUCCUGCCUGGGAUCCUCCUAAACUACUCCUGGUCGUCGUCAGCGGUCUGCACGUAGUAGUAGGCACCUCCGGUGUAGUAGGAGUCGUCGUCGACAGUGGCGUCUGGCUCCUGGGCUCCAGCAUCUGGUUGCGACAACCAGGUAGAAGGGAAAGGGGGAAAAGAGGGAGAAAAGCAACCGUGAGUACUCAUCCAAAGUACUCGCAAGCAAGGAGCUACACUACAUAUGCAUGGGUAUAUGUGUAAAGGGCCAUAUCGGUGGACUGAACUGCAGAAUGCCAGAAUAAGAGGGGGAUAGCUAAUCCUGUCGAAGACUACGCUUCAGGCCACCUCCAUCUUGCAGCAUGUAGAAGAGAGUAGAUGGUAAGUUCACCAAGUAGCAUCACAUAGCAUAAACCUACCCGGCGAUCCCCUCCUCAUCGCCCUGUUAGAGAGCGAUCACCGGGUUAUAUCUGGCACUUGGAAGGGUGUGUUUUAUUAAGUAUCCGGUUCUAGUUGUCAUAAGGUCAAGGUACAACUCCAAGUCGUCCUGUUACCGAAGAUCACGGCUAUUCGAAUAGAUAAACUUCCCUGCAGGGGUGCACCACAUAACCCAACACGCUCGAUCCCAUUUGGUCAGACACACUUUUCUGGGUCAUGCCCGGCCGCGGAAGAUCAACACGUCGCAGCCCUACCUAGGCACAACAGAGAGGUCAGCACGCCGGUCUAAAUCCUAUGGCGCAGGGGUCUGGGCCCAUCACCCAUUGCACACCUGCACGUUGCGUGGGCAGCCAGAAGCAGAACUAGCCCCCUUAAUACAAGAGCAGGCUUACAUUCCAAUCCGGCGCGCGCCGCUCAGUCGCUGACGUCACGAAGGCUUCGGCUGAUACCACGACGUCGAGUGCCCAUAACUUUCCCACGUAGUUGGUUAGUGCGUAUAGACCAAAUGGCCAGACUCAGAUCAAAUACCAAGAACUCGUUAAGCGUGUUAUUUUUAAGUAUCCGCGGACGCCGACUAGGGCCAGGCCCACCUCUCUCCUAGGUGGUCUCAACCUGCUCUGUCGCUCCGCCACAAAGUAACAGUCGGGGGCCGUCAGGAACCCAGGCCCACCUCUACCGGGAUGGAGCCACCUGUCCUUUCAGCCCCCUCAUCAGAAUCACUUGCGGGUACUCAACGAGCUGACCCGACUUUAGUCACCACAUGUGUCAUGUAUAUAAAGUAUAUAGUAUAUACACGUGAUCACCUCCCUAGUGAUCAUGGCCCGAUAGUAUAGCAUGACAGACGGACAAGAAUGUAGGGCCACUGAUGGAACACUAGCACCCUAUACUAAGCAGUAGGAUAGCAGGUAAGGGUAACAACUGUAGCAACAAUGACAGGCUAUGCAUCAGAAUAGGAUUAACCGAAAGCAGUAACAUGCUACACUACUCUAAUGCAAGUAGUAGAGAGAAGAAUAGGCGAUAUCUGGUGAUCAGGGGGGCUUGCCUGGUUGCUCAGACAAGAAGGAGGGGUCAUCGGUGACGUAUUCGACCACAGGGGCAUCAGCAUCGUCACGGGGUCUACCGAAGAGAAGAGAGGGGAGAAACAGUAAAUACAUAUUAAGCAAGUGCAUAACAGGGCAACAUGCAGAGCUAGACGUGUUCUAACGCGGUAUGAGGUGAUACCAGUGAAGGGGGGAAACAUCCGGGAAAAUAUCCCCGGUGUUUCGCGUUUUUGGGCAGAUGAAUCAGAGGGGAAAAGUUGCGUGUUCGCUAUGCUAGGGAUGUGUGGUGGACGAACGGGCUAAGUAACCAGACUCGUCUCAUCGUUCUGAGCAACUUUCAUGUACAAAGUUUUUUCAUCCGAGCUACGAUUUAUUUUAUAUUAAUUUUAAAAGAUUUAAAAUGAUUUUCUAAUUUCUGGAUUUAAUUUAAUUCGAAAUUAAAUUUGUAUUUAGAUGCUACGGGUACACAGGAAGUGUACCCAGAGUGUGUCUAAGGGGCUGACAGGUGGGGCUCUGGUCAAAAGUCCAGUCAGCGUUUGACUGGACCAUUGACUGGUCAAAAGGGCCCAUGGGACCCGCAUGUCAUUGAUACAUGAUUUGCUAAACAACAUUUGAUUAACUAAUCUGGUUGAUUAGGUUAUUAAGCAGGUUAUUUAAUUUAACUAAUUAACUUACUAACUAAUUAAUUAAUUAACAAUUAUUAUUUAAUUAAUCUUUUUUUGUUUUAUUUUUGGGCGUGGGCCCCGUCUGUCAUAGGCACAUGGGGCCUAUCGGGCGUCGGGUUACGGGCGCAGGCGUGCGGGUGCAGGGCGCGGGCGUGCGCCCAUGGCCACCAGGGGAGCGAACUCCGCCAGGAGGGAGGGUGCGGCCCCGGGUGGGGACGGCGGCCACGGCGUGCGGGCAGCGGUGAGGUCCAGUGGAUGAGCGAGGCGACGACCGGAGCGACGGCAACGCCAACAGCAAGCAGCAAGUAGGGGUUCGAGUAGUAGGGAGAAGAAAAACGAACGAAGCUCACAUAGGGAGCUCAUGGAGGCUCUGCGAAAGCUUAGGAGCAGCAGGGGUUCGCCAUAGUCGACGACGAACGCCGGCAGCUGAAGCGGAUAGCUGAAGUCGAUCUGCUCAACUUGGCGCAUCCCAGCUCGUUCUGCUCCUCGAUGACGGUGUAGUGGACGACGACGGAGUGGCCGGACAUGGCCUCACGACGCGGGGACGACGGUGAUGCUUGGCGGCGGGGAAGACGCACACGGCGACUGGUCAUGGAAGGAGGCAAGCAGUAGAAUGAGAUGCGCCACGUGGGGAAGGAUGGGGCGCAUGGCGGAGGCAGAGGGCACCGUAGCAUGGCAGCUAGGAGGUGAGCAGCAAGGCGACGGGGAGGCGCUGGUCAGCGGUGGCGCGAGGAGGGAAAGCGAGGGAGGGAUAAGGGGAUCGAGUAGAGGCGUUUCCCCCCAUGCGACUGCUUGUGCAUGUGAGGCGGCGCUCACAUGGAGACAAAGGAACGAUGGGGGAUUGAGAGGGUAGAUCGAGCUAGGGUUAGCUGGUGGGGGUGGGCCGACCAGCCCGGGGUGGCUGUGGCCAGCCGGCUGGACCAAGGCCCAAUUGGCCAUGGGGAGUUCUUUUACCUUUUGUUUUGUUUUACUUUUGUUUUUAUUUAUUUCCUUGUUUUUGUUUUCUUUUACUUACUUAAUAGUUUAUAGUUUUUAGAAAAAGUGAAACCCACCCCUCAAUUAGAUUUGUAAAAACAACUGCUCUCACAAAAAGUUUGGGACAAAAGUAAAGUACCUUGUAUUCUCUAUUAAUUAAAAAGACAUUUAAGUCAUUGUUUUAUUUAUUUUAGUGCCUUUAAUUAUUUUAUAAUAAUGUGGAUCCUCCACCAUAAUUACUUAUGAUCUAUUUGUCACAUUGGGAACAUUAUAGUUUUAACUUUUGAAAACUUUUAUUGUUUGACUUUAUUUUAAAUUUGAAUUUUGAAUCAGUUUUGAAUCAAUGUGAUUUUAAUAACAGUAAUCAUGGUAACAUGGCAUCAUUAGUAGGGAAUUACUGUAGCUUGAUUAUCCGGGCGUCACAUUAAACCUAUAGGAU
rnacentral:lncRNA from 1 species